rnacentral:rRNA from 1 species
AGUGGAUGGGGAGCAACCUAGUUGUGCGUGUGUAAAGGUAGUGCCAAGAAAAGCGAUGAUCAUGUUGAAAAUCAAUUCCCGGUACCCGAAACCGACACAGGUGGGCAAGUAGAGGAUACUAAGGGGCGCGAGGUAACUCUCUCCAAGGAACUCGGCAAAAUGACCCCGUAACUUAGGGAGAAGGGGUGCCACCGAGAGGUGGUCGCAGUGAAGAGGCCCAGGCGACUGUUUAGCAAAAACAUAGGUCUCUGCAAACUCGAAAGAGGAGGUAUAGGGGCUGACGCCUGCCCAGUGCCGGAAGGUUAAAGAAGUUGGUCAGUCUUAGGAUGAAGCUAGCGACUGAAGCCCCGGUGAACGGCGGCCGUAACUAUAACGGUCCUAAGGUAGCGAAAUUCCUUGUCGGGUAAGUUCCGACCCGCACGAAAGGCGUAACGAUCUGGGCGCUGUCUCGGAGAGAGGCUCGGCGAAAUAGGAUUGUCUGUGAAGAUACGGACUACCUGCAUUUGGACAGAAAGACCCUAUGAAGCUUUACUAUAGCUUGGAAUUGUGUUCGGGCUUCCUGUGCGCAGGAUAGGUGGGAGGCGUAGAAGGUAUUCUUGUGGGGAUACUGGAGCCAACGGUGAGAUACCACUCUCAGGAGGCAAGAAUUCUAACUUAAUUAAGGACAGUUUCAGGUGGGUAGUUUGACUGGGGCGGUCGCCUCCAAAAAGGUAACGGAGGCGUACAAAGGUUCCCUCAGACUGGUUGGAAAUCAGUCGAAGAGUGCAAAGGCAGAAGGGAGCUUGACUGCGAGAAGUACAGUUCGAGCAGGGUGGAAACACGGUCUUAGUGAUCCGACGGUGCUGUGUGGAAGGGCCGUCGCUCAACGGAUAAAAGUUACUCUAGGAUAACAGGCUGAUCUCCCCCAAGAGUUCACAUCGACGGGGAGGUUUGGCACCUCGAUGUCGGCUCAUCGCAACCUGGGGCGGAAGUACGUCCCAAGGGUUGGGCUGUUCGCCCAUUAAAGCGGUACAUGAGCUGGGUUCAGAACGUCGUGAGACAGUUCGGUCCAUAUCCGAUGUAGGCGUGAGAAUAUUGAGAGGAGCCUUCCUUAGUACGAGAGGACCGGGAAGGACGCACCGCUGGUGUACCAGUUAUGAUGCCAAUUGUAAACGCAGGGUAGCCAAGUGCGGAGAGGAUAACCGCUGAAAGCAUCUAAGUGGGAAGCCCACCUCAAGAUGAGUAUUCUGGUGUAAGGUCACGGGAAGACGACCCGUAAAUAGGCACGAGGUGGAAGUGCAGAGAUGUAUGAAGCCGAAGUGUACUAAUAGACCGUCGGCUUGAC